rnacentral:rRNA from 1 species
CCUUGACAUGCAGAGAACUUUCAGAGAUGGAUUGGUGCCUUCGGGAACUCUGACACAGGUGCUGCAUGGCUGUCGUCAGCUCGUGUCGUGAGAUGUUGGGUUAAGUCCGUAACGAGCGCAACCCUUGUCCUUAGUUACCAGCACGUUAUGGUGGGCACUCUAAGGAGACUGCCGGUGACAAACCGGAGGAAGGUGGGGAUGACGUCAAGUCAUCAUAGCCCUUACGGCCUGGGCUACACACGUGCUACAAUGGUCGGUACAAAGGGUUGCCAAGCCGCGAGGUGGAGCUAAUCCCAUAAAACCGAUCGUAGUCCGGAUCGCAGUCUGCAACUCGACUGCGUGAAGUCGGAAUCGCUAGUAAUCGUGAAUCAGAAUGUCACGGUGAAUACGUUCCCGGGCCUU